rnacentral:lncRNA from 1 species
CUCUGUCAUAAUCUGGAAUGAUGAUAUCAAUCAAGUGAAGCAGCUAUCACAGGGUCUGGAACAUAGUACAUCCCAGCCUUCUUGCACAUAGAAACACUACACAGCACUUCAGCUGUAUGUUUGGGGGCCAUUUUAAACAGCAAAAUCAUCAACAGGAAGCAGAAAAUUGUAAAAAUUGUGGCACUAAAUAGACCAUGUAAAGGACACAUGUUUGCAAUAAGAAAGCUGAAACAAGAAGGGGGAGUGUCACCUUAUUUGAUCCAGCUAGAAACUCAGGUGCUGGUAUUCCAGCAACACUCAGGCGGCUGCUCCAGGAGGCUGCAGAGGGGUCCUUUUUAGCCGUCAACAAAACUGGCUAUGGUCACGCCCAUUGGGAAACUCAUUGCUGCCUUCAAGGACUCAGAAGCUGUAGGAAUAUUCAGGCACAGACACCAGACCCAGCUUCAUCUCUAACUUGUGGCAAAGGACAGUACAUCCUGGGAUGGGACCCUAUGCUCCCCUAUGCCAUUUAGACAGAGCCUGGGGAGAGUGACUUCCCAGGGUAUCCAUGUUGGAAUCUCUCAUUUGAUUCUUAUUCAAAUUUAGGUUCUGUCAAUAGAAGAUACUAAAGAAAGAAAGCCAGGAGAAGAAAAGGGACUUCUUUCUUCAAGGUCUAAGCUGUUCUAAUAGCAUUAUUCUGGGAAUGGCAUCUUCCACUCCUCCUAGUACAAAGAACCUGCUUCCUCAUACCCCGUCAAGGAACUGCAGCAUCCAGGUGAUGGCCACAGUGGCAGAACCUAGGAAGCCAAGAAGAAACCAGAGAAUGGAGACACAUGGCAGCAAUGGCAAGUCAUCAGACCCAGGAUUUCCCAAAGAACACUGGUCCAGGAAGAUGCUCUGUGAAAAAGUGUUCCCUGGUCGGAGAAAUUUGUGAAACACUUUGCAUAAUACUUAAAAGAAUGUAUGGCACAUCAAAGAUCUUAUAACAGUCUCCGCAGGAAGCAGCUGCAGUCAUUAGCCAUAGGACAGACUAAACACACAAUCUGCAUGGAAGGAGGCCUGGAUCAGCUUGGUCUUUCAGAUCUCUAAUCUCAGGCACAGGAAAGCACCAUCAACAGCACCCUUUGUAUAUAUACAUAAAGGUAACAUAUUUUAUCAUUUAAAGGGAUUUGAGAAAUUGAAGAGGCCCAACUCUUUUUCUGCCUUCUUUGGUUUGAGGCUUAGAUUGCUUAAGGGGCUUGCCCAGGAUCACAUAUCUUGUAAGAGACAGAGCAAGGAUUCAAAGCCAGUGCUGGCUUCUGUGUCUCCAUUCUUUCCAUUCUCCUCCAGUGGCUCUUUUGGGAAGCUGAGGGAGGAACAGCAGCAGAAUUGGGUGGCACCUGCCCAUGCCCAUCAUGC